AUCAGAUUUAACCAGUGGUGUAUAAAUUACCCGAAAGCCAUACUCAAGAAAAAGUACAGAUAUCUUACCAGAAAAUGACUUUGGUAGAAGUUGAAGUCACCGUUUAGAAUAUUACU